rnacentral:piRNA from 1 species
UGUGCAAACGUCUUAAACUCAAUCGUAAC